rnacentral:rRNA from 1 species
CGUAACUCCUACGGGAGGCAGCAGUGGGGAAUAUUGGACAAUGGGCGCAAGCCUGAUCCAGCCAUGCCGCGUGAGUGAUGAAGGCCCUAGGGUUGUAAAGCUCUUUCACCGGUGAAGAUAAUGACGGUAACCGGAGAAGAAGCCCCGGCUAACUUCGUGCCAGCAGCCGCGGUAAUACGAAGGGGGCUAGCGUUGUUCGGAUUUACUGGGCGUAAAGCGCACGUAGGCGGACUAUUAAGUCAGGGGUGAAAUCCCGGGGCUCAACCCCGGAACUGCCUUUGAUACUGGUAGUCUUGAGUUCGAGAGAGGUGAGUGGAAUUCCGAGUGUAGAGGUGAAAUUCGUAGAUAUUCGGAGGAACACCAGUGGCGAAGGCGGCUCACUGGCUCGAUACUGACGCUGAGGUGCGAAAGCGUGGGGAGCAAACAGGAUUAGAUACCCCAGUAGUCCCCAUGA